rnacentral:rRNA from 1 species
GAUCAUGGCUCGGGAUGAACGCUAGCGACAGGCCUAACACAUGCAAGUCGAGGGGCAGCGGAGAGGUAGCAAUACCUUUGCCGGCGACCGGCGCACGGGUGAGUAACACGUAUGCAAUCCACCUGUAACAGGGGGAUAACCCGGAGAAAUCCGGACUAAUACCCCAUAAUAUGGGCUCUCCGCAUGGAGGGUUCAUUAAAGAGAGCAAUUUUGGUUACAGACGAGCAUGCGCUCCAUUAG